rnacentral:tRNA from 7 species
GCGGGUGUGGCGAAAUUGGUAGACGCACCAGAUUUAGGUUCUGGCGCCGCGAGGCGUGGGGGUUCAAGUCCCUUCACCCGCACCA